rnacentral:rRNA from 1 species
AAGUCGUAACAAGGUUUCCGUAGGUGAACCUGCGGAAGGAUCAUUACUGAGUCGUCGACACGAGUUGUUGCUGGUCCUCGAACAGGGGACAUGUGCACGCUCUGUUUACACAUCCACUCACACCUGUGCACCCUCUGUAGUUCUAUGGUCUGGGGGGCCCUGCCUCCCUUCCGUGGUUCUGCAUCUUUACACAUACACUGUAACAAAGUUUAUGGAAUGUACAUCGCGUUUAACGCAAUACAAUACAACUUUCAGCAACGGAUCUCUUGGCUCUCGCAUCGAUGAAGAACGCAGCGAAAUGCGAUAAGUAAUGUGAAUUGCAGAAUUCAGUGAAUCAUCGAAUCUUUGAACGCACCUUGCGCCCCUUGGCUAUUCCGAAGGGCAUGCCUGUUUGAGUAUCAUGAACACCUCAACUCCCAUGGUUUGCCAUGGUGAGCUUGGACUUUGGGGGUUUUGCUGGCCCAUGGUCAGCUCCUCUCAAAUGAAUCAGCCUGCCAGUGUUUGGUGGCAUCACAGGUGUGAUAAAUAUCUACGCUUGCGAUUGCCCACCAGGUAACCUUCAGCAAUGGGGGUUCGCUGGGGCUCAUAGACGUCUCUCCCUCAGCGAGGACAGUUUUUUUAACGUUCGAUCUCAAAUCAGGUAGGACUACCCGCUGAACUUAA